GUGGGCGACUCCUAAGGAGACUGCCGGUGACAAACCGGAGGAAGGUGGGGAUGACGUCAAGUCAUCAUGGCCCUUACGGCCUGGGCUACACACGUGCUACAAUGGUCGGUACAAAGGGUUGCCAAGCCGCGAGGUGGAGCUAAUCCCAUAAAACCGAUCGUAGUCCGGAUCGCAGUCUGCAACUCGACUGCGUGAAGUCGGAAUCGCUAGUAAUCGUGAAUCAGAAUGUCACGGUGAAUACGUUCCCGGGCCUU
rnacentral:rRNA from 1 species